UACGGGGGGGGCAAGCGUUGUUCGGAAUUACUGGGCGUAAGGGGCUCGUAGGUGGCCAACUAAGUCAGACGUGAAAUCCCUCGGCUUAACCGGGGAACUGCGUCUGAUACUGGACGGCUUGAGUUUGGGAGAGGGACGCGGAAUUCCAGGUGUAGCGGUGAAAUGCGUAGAUAUCUGGAGGAACACCGGUGGCGAAGGCGGCGUCCUGGACCAACACUGACACUGAGGAGCGAAAGCCAGGGGAGCAAACGGG
rnacentral:rRNA from 1 species